rnacentral:rRNA from 1 species
CCUACGGGUGGCAGCAGUGAGGAAUAUUGGUCAAUGGGCGCGAGCCUGAACCAGCCAAGUCGCGUGAGGGAAGACGGCCCUACGGGUUGUAAACCUCUUUUGCCGGGGAGCAACGGGCGCCACGUGUGGCGCCACUGAGAGUACCCGGAGAAAAAGCAGCGGCGAACUCCGUGCCAGCAGCCGCGGUAAGACGGUGGAUGCGUGCGUUAUCCGGUUUGAUUGGGUUUAAGGGGGGCGUAGGCGGAGCGUUAAGUCAGUGGUCAAAUUGAGGGGCUCAACCCCUUCCCGCCAUUGAAACUGGCGCUCUUGCGUGGAUGAGUAGUAUGCGGAAUGCGUGGUGUAGCGGUGAAAUGCAUAGAUAUCACGCAGAACCCCGAUUGCGAAGGCAGCAUGCCGGCUUCCGCCUGACGCUGACGCACGAAAGCGUGGGGAUCGAACAGGAUUAGAUACCCUAGUAGUC